rnacentral:rRNA from 1 species
CCAGACUCCUACGGGAGGCAGCAGUGAGGAAUAUUGGUCAAUGGCCGGAAGGCUGAACCAGCCAAGCCGCGUGAAGGACGAAGGUGCCAAGCAUUGUAAACUUCUUUUGUCAAGGGACAAAAUCAGGCUCGAGAGCCUGACCGAGGGUACUUGAAGAAAAAGCAUCGGCUAACUCCGUGCCAGCAGCCGCGGUAAUACGGAGGAUGCGAGCGUUAUCCGGAUUUAUUGGGUUUAAAGGGUGCGUAGGCGGGCUGUUAAGUCAGCGGUAAAAGCCGGGGGCACAACCCCGGCGAGCCGUUGAAACUGUGUCCCUUGAGUGCGCGAAGGGUAGGCGGAAUGCGUGGUGUAGCGGUGAAAUGCAUAGAUAUCACGCAGAACUCCGAUCGCGAAGGCAGCCUACCGGCGCGCAACUGACGCUCAUGCACGAAAGCGUGGGUAUCGAACAGGAUUAGAUACCCCAGUA